UUACAGCUCUUUGGUAGCAGAUGCUCUGGUUCCGUUCCUCUCUUCGUUCAGUUUAAUGUCCAAGUCCCGGAGCUGGCUGAGGAACCCUGAAUUUGGGCAGAUGUCUCUGUGAGCACUCACUGUUUUCAGAGCAUCCACGAUUGUCAUGUUUUCAUGGAUCAUUAAGAACGCAAGCACUAAAGAUGCUGAGCGGCUCACCCCCAUGGCACAAUGAACAAACACCUUACCUGCCAAAACAAAAGAGGCAGAGCAGAACAUUAAGCUGAAGCAGAAAAAGGAAACCAAGAAAAAGAUAAUAAAUACAGCUUCUACAUCAGGAGAUUCAUAAGAUCACAGGCUCAUUUUCAAGCAGUGUGGUUGACUCUCAAUUGCUGCAGAUGUUUAAAGGCUGAGGUUGUGCAGGUAAGCAGACGGAUAUUAAACUUGCAGUUCUCCUAGCCCCCGCUUCUUUAAACUUCUGUUGCAGCCUGUCAGCUAGUUACAGUAAUGGAGAUGAUUAGCAGAGAGAGGGAAAGGGAUGUUUAGCAGAGAGAAUUACAUUGCGAAGCCUUUUGUUCGAGACCCGACUUUGAGGGGGUUCUCCAAGAAUUGAGUCGUUCUGGUGCCGGUGAAACUUAGCAGGCAACUCCAGCCUUUGUAGCCAGGGAGGUGUUUUGCAACAGAGCUCCCUUUCAUUCAGCAGUCCUCUUUCCAAAAAGUGUGUCAACAUCAUUCGCUUCACAUGACUAAUGCCAGACAAGUGAGCUCCUCAUGUCAACACCAAGAAGCAUAGCUCCUCCCAAGCACACCGCUCAGUCCUGCGUUGCACUGGCUUUGAAAUUGAAUUGCUCUGCCGGGCCUUUGGGGUAAGCUUGGAAAUAGCUAUACCAGAUGAUUGAACUAAUGAGGAAAGUAAUAUGAAAUUUUUAAUUGAAGGCCAGGGACUUUGCUAGAAGUGUCGUCCCCCCUGCCUUCCACUGUAAGAUACUGCAAAGCUAGCAAAAGUGCUGCCACUGAUUACAUUUCUCUAAGCUUCUCCCUCCGGGUGGCUCCCAGAAGCUGCUCUAGUUGGAAAGAGCCAGUGACUGCAGGAGGGCAGGAGCCUCUGUAACUGGGUGGGGGG